rnacentral:rRNA from 1 species
GAUGAACGCUGACAGAAUGCUUAACACAUCAGCAAUUGAUUGGUGGCGGACGGGUGAGUAACGCGUAAAGAACUUCCCUCAUAGCUAGGGACAACAUUUUGAAACGAAUGCUAAUACCUAAUACUGUGAGAGAGCUUUGCGUCCCAUUAGCUCGUUGGAGAGGUAACGGCUCACCAAGGCGAUGAUGGGUAGCCGGCCUGAGAGGGUGAUCGGCCGCAAGGGGACUGGGGCACGGCCCGUACUGCUACGGGAGGCAGGAGUGGGAAAUAUUGGACACUGGACCAAAGUGUGAUGCAGCAAUUCUGUGUGCACGAUGAAGUUUUCGGAAUGUAAAGUGUUUUCAGUUGGGAAGCGGUACCAACAGAAGAAGCGACGGCUAAAUACGUGCCAGCAGCCGCGGUAAUUC